AACGAACGCUGGCGGCAUGCCUAACACAUGCAAGUCGAACGAGACCUUCGGGUCUAGUGGCGCACGGGUGCGUAACGCGUGGGAACCUGCCCUUAGGUUCGGAAUCACUCCCCGAAAGGGGUGCUAAUACCGGAUAAUGCCUUCGGACCAAAGAUUUAUCGCCUUUGGAUGGGCCCGCGUUGGAUUAGCUAGUUGGUAGGGUAAAAGCCUACCAAGGCGACGAUCCAUAGCUGGUCUGAGAGGAUGAUCAGCCACACUGGGACUGAGACACGGCCCAGACUCCUACGGGAGGCAGCAGUGGGGAAUAUUGGACAAUGGGCGAAAGCCUGAUCCAGCAAUGCCGCGUGAGUGAUGAAGGCCUUAGGGUUGUAAAGCUCUUUUACCCGGGAUGAUAAUGACAGUACCGGGAGAAUAAGCUCCGGCUAACUCCGUG
rnacentral:rRNA from 1 species